AGUGAACGCUGGCGGUAGGCCUAACACAUGCAAGUCGAACGGCAGCACAGAGGAGCUUGCUCCUUGGGUGGCGAGUGGCGGACGGGUGAGGAAUACAUCGGAAUCUACUCUGUCGUGGGGGAUAACGUAGGGAAACUUACGCUAAUACCGCAUACGACCUACGGGUGAAAGCAGGGGAUCUUCGGACCUUGCGCGAUUGAAUGAGCCGAUGUCGGAUUAGCUAGUUGGCGGGGUAAAGGCCCACCAAGGCGACGAUCCGUAGCUGGUCUGAGAGGAUGAUCAGCCACACUGGAACUGAGACACGGUCCAGACUCCUACGGGAGGCAGCAGUGGGGAAUAUUGGACAAUGGGCGCAAGCCUGAUCCAGCCAUACCGCGUGGGUGAAGAAGGCCUUCGGGUUGUAAAGCCCUUUUGUUGGGAAAGAAAUCCAACUGGUUAAUACCCGGUUGGGAUGACGGUACCCAAAGAAUAAGCACCGGCUAACUUCGUGCCAGCAGCCGCGGUAAUACGAAGGGUGCAAGCGUUACUCGGAAUUACUGGGCGUAAAGCGUGCGUAGGUGGUUAUUUAAGUCCGUUGUGAAAGCCCUGGGCUCAACCUGGGAACUGCAGUGGAUACUGGAUGACUAGAAUGUGGUAGAGGGUAGCGGAAUUCCUGGUGUAGCAGUGAAAUG
rnacentral:rRNA from 1 species